GACGAACGCUGGCGGCGUGCCUAACACAUGCAAGUCGAACGGAGACGAUAGCAAUAUUGUCUUAGUGGCGGACGGGUGAGUAACGCGUGAGUAACCUGCCUUUCGGAGGGGGACAACAGCUGGAAACGGCUGCUAAUACCGCAUAAGACCACGGGCUGAGAUGCCAGUGGGAAAAGGAGCAAUCCACUUAAGGAUGGGCCUGCGGCCUAUCAGGUAGUUGGUGAGGUAACGGCCCACCAAGCCAGAGACGGGUAGCCGGGCUGAGAGGUUGAACGGCCACACUGGAACUGAGAUACGGUCCAGACUCCUACGGGAGGCAG
rnacentral:rRNA from 1 species